CGGAGGUGCAGCCUUUUCAGGCAGGGCUUCCUGCCUGAGGAUGUGCUCCUCUCUUGGGACCUGCUUAUCUCCUGGAAUCUGAGACACAACACAGAGCAAUUCCCAGGCCAGUCAUGACUGGAGCCUCCACCAGUAUAUGGUGAGGUGCAGAGAAGGGCCCCGUGCUAGGCCAAGAGCCUAUCCUUGACCAGUU
rnacentral:lncRNA from 1 species